CGCGGCGAUUGAAUGUUGGCGGUUAAGGUGCCCGACUCUCGGACGCACAGCGGAACCCAGAAAAGGUGUUGGUGGAUAUAGACAGCAGGACGGUGGCCAUGGAAGUCGGCAUCCGCUAAGGAGUGUGUAACAACUCACCUGCCGAAUCCACUAGCCCUGAAAAUGGAUGGCGCUGUAGCGUUGGACCUAUACCCGCCCGCGGUGGCAAACUCUGAAGACAGGCCGCCGUGAGUAGGAGGGCGACGUGGUGCGCGCCGAAGCCUAGGGAGUGAUCCCGGGUGGAGCCGCCACGUGUGAAGAUCUUGGUGGUAGUAGCAAAUCAUUCAAAAGAGAACUUUGAAGACUGAAGUGGAGAAGGGUUCCAUGUGAACAGCAGUUGAACAUGGGUCAGUCGGCCCUAAAGGACAGGACAGUUCCGCACGGAACGCCGGGGAUGACAAUAAUUUUAUGGCACACCCCGGACCCUCCCUGAAAGGGAAUCGGGUUAAAAUUCCUGAACCCGGAGGUAGAGAACGCCCCCAUCUGGGGGCCAGAGCGGCAACACGAACAAACUGGGAGACGCUGGCGGGAGCCCCGGGAAGAGUUUUCUCUUCUUUGUAAAGGACGGAACCCCUGGAAUCGGUUUGGCCGGAGAUAGGGGCUUGGUUCCUGUAAAGCGCCGCGCUUCCGGCUGCGUCCGGUGCGCUUUCGCUGGCCCUUGAAAAUCCCAAGGAGCAGUGUGUCUCUACCCCGGUCCGUACCCAUAUCCGCAGCAGGUCUCCAAGGUGAACAGCCUCUAGUCCCUAGAACAAUGUAGGUGAGGGAAGUCGGCAAAUUGGAACCGUAACUUCGGGACAAGGUUUGGCUAUGAGGGUCGGGUCAGCUGGGUUGCUGCCGGAAGUGGGCGCGGGCUCCGAGCGAACGCGGCGUCGGGCGGGUCUUCUUCUUUCGUGGGGGUUGGCCUGCUCGGUGCAGGGCGGCGCAGGGGUCCUGCUUGCGGAAGGUGGCAGCUGCGCCUGCGGUGGUUUCGGUCGCCGUCAGGCCCCGGUUGGCGUCCGACGGCCAACUCAGAACUGGCACGGACAAGGGGAAUCCGACUGUCUAAUUAAAACAAAGCAUCCCGAAGGCCGUCCCCCGGCUUUGACGGGAUGUGAUUUCUGCCCAGUGCUUUGAAUAUCAAAGUGAAGAAAUUCAAUCAAGCGCAGGUAAACGGCGGGAGUAACUAUGACUCUCUUAAGGUAGCCAAAUGCCUUGUCAUCCAAUUGGUGACGCGCAUGAAUGGAUCAACGAGAUUCCCACUGUCCCCAUCUACUAUCUACAAAAAAAACCACAGCCAGGGGAACGGGCCUGGGUCCUUCGUCGGGGAAAGAAGACCCUGUUGAGCUUGACAGCAGUUUGGCUUUGUACGGAGGCACCAGAGGUGUAGAAUAGGCGGGAGACUUCGGUCGCCGGUGAAAUACCGCCACUCUGGUAGCUUCCGCACUCACUCUGUGAUGAGACAUCGGCGCGGCGAGCUGUCGGUUUUGCCGCAGCUCGUCGUCGUCUUCAUUUCUAGCCUUAAGGGCGGGGGGCUCGUCCUCCCGCCUUAGCCCUGCAGAGGACAUAGUCAGGUGGGCUGUUUGAUUGGGGCGGUACAUCUGUCAAAAGGUAACGCAGGUGUCCCAAGGAUGGCUCAGCGAGGACAGAAACCUCGCGUAGAGCAAAAGGGCAAAAGCCAUCUUGAUCCUGAUUUUCAGUCCGAAUACGGACCGCGAAAGCGGGGCCUAUCGAUCCUUUUUGAACUUUGGAGUUUGAAGCAAGAGGUGUCAGAAAAGUUACCACAGGGAUAACUGGCUUGUGGCAGCCAAGCGUUCAUAGCGACGUUGCUUUUUGAUCCUUCGAUGUCGGCUCUUCCUAUCAUUGCGAAGCAGAAUUCGCAAAGCGUUGAAUUGUUCACCCACUAACAGGGAACGUGAGCUGGGUUUAGACCGUCGUGAGACAGGUUAGUUUUACCCUAAUGAAGGUCUAGUUGUGGCGCCGGCAAUCCUGCUCAGUACGAGAGGAACAGCAGGCUCGGACAUUUGGUCGAGCGCUUGUUUGAAAAGGCAUCGGCGCCAGGCUACCGUCCGCGAGAUUAUGACUGAACGCCUCUAAGUCAGAAGCUCGCCCAACAAAGCAAUGACACCAAACCGCGCCCUAGCGCUUGGGAGGCAGCGCUACCCAUCUGGUCUUCGGACCAGGCGGAUCCAUGCCGCAGUGCCCGCUACAUCCGGACCGCCGCAAUCGGUGCCGGGAGGUCGUGCGUAUCAGACGCAUCGAACGCAUGGGCGCAAAAUCUCUUGCAUACGACUUUAUUUGAGUCUGGGUGCCGUCCGCGGCAGAGCAGCCUCGCGCUGCGAUCCGUUGAGGCUAAUCCCAAGACUCGGACGGAUUUGU
rnacentral:rRNA from 1 species